rnacentral:rRNA from 1 species
UAAUGCUCCAUAGUGGAUAUAUACUGGAAUGUUAUAUCCUCGAAAGAUCCGCCGCCCAAGGAUGAGUCUAUGUCCGAUUAGGUAGUUGGCGGGGUAACGGCCCACCAAGCCUUUGAUCGGUACGGGUUGUGGGAGCAAGAUCCCGGAGAUGGAUUCUGAGACAUGAAUCCAGGCCCUACGGGGCGCAGCAGGCGCGCAAACUUUACAAUGCGAGCAAUCGUGAUAAGGAAACCCUGAGUGCCUGUCGAUGCAGGCUGUUCAUAUAUCUAAAUCAUAUGUGAAGAAAGGGCAGGGCAAGACCGGUGCCAGCCGCCGCGGUAAUACCGGCUGCUCGAGUGAUGGCCACUAUUACUGGGUUUAAAGCGUCCGUAGCUUGACUGUUAGGUCUCUUGGGAAAUCUUCACGCUCAACGUGAAGGCGUCUAAGAGAUACCGGCAGUCUUGGAACUGGGAGAGGUAAACCGUACUUCGGGGGUAGGAGUGAAAUCUUGUAAUCCUCGAGGGACGACCUAUGGCGAAGGCAGUUUACCAGAACAGCUUCGACAGUGAGGGACGAAAGCUGGGGGAGCAAACGGGAUUAGAUACCCCGGUAGUCCCAGCCGUAAACAAUGUGCGUUAGGUGU